AUUGAACGCUGGCGGGAGGCUUAACACAUGCAAGUCGAGCGAGCGGCGGACGGGUGAGUAAUGUCUGGGAAAGUGCCUGGUAGAGGGGGAUAACUACUGGAAAGGGUAGCUAAUACCGCAUACCCUGAGAUGUGCCGAUAUGGGAUUAGCUAGUAGGUGGGGUAAUGGCUCACCGAGGCAACGAUCCCUAGCUGGUUUGAGAGGAUGACCAGCCACACUGGAACUGAGACACGGUCCAGACUCCUACGGGAGGCAGCAGUGGGGAAUAUUGCACAAUGGGCGCAAGCCUGAUGCAGCCAUGCCGCGUGUGUGAAGAAGGCCUUCGGGUUGUAAAGCACUUUCAGCGGGGAGGCGUUACCCGCAGAAGAAGCACCGGCUAACUCCGUGCCAGCAGCCGCGGUAAUUC
rnacentral:rRNA from 1 species